GCCAGGCAUGGUGGUGCAUGCCUGUAAUCCCAGCUACUUGGGAGGCUGAGGCAAGAGAAUUGCUUGAACCCAGGAGGCAGAGGUUGCAGUGAGCCAAGAUUGUGCCACUGCACUCCAGCCUGGGUGACAGAGCGAGACUUUGUCUCAA
ensembl:misc_RNA Metazoa_SRP Metazoan signal recognition particle RNA